rnacentral:rRNA from 1 species
GACGAACGCUGGCGGCGUGCUUAACACAUGCAAGUCGAACGGAAAGGCCCUGCUUUUGUGGGGUGCUCGAGUGGCGAACGGGUGAGUAACACGUGAGUAACCUGCCCUUGACUUUGGGAUAACUUCAGGAAACUGGGGCUAAUACCGGAUAGGAGCUCCUGCUGCAUGGUGGGGGUUGGAAAGUUUCGGCGGUUGGGGAUGGACUCGCGGCUUAUCAGCUUGUUGGUGGGGUAGUGGCUUACCAAGGCUUUGACGGGUAGCCGGCCUGAGAGGGUGACCGGCCACAUUGGGACUGGGAUACGGCCCAGACUCCUACGGGAGGCAGCAGUGGGGGAUAUUGCACAAUGGGCGGGAGCCUGAUGCAGCAACGCCGCGUGCGGGAUGACGGGCUUCGGGUUGUAAACCGCUUUCGCCUGUGACGAAGCGUGAGUGACGGUAAUGGAGAAAGAAGCACCGGCUAACUACGUGC